CAAAUUAAGGUUCUCACGUGAUGGACGGAGUGGAUUUACAAGAGCCCCUCCGAGCUUGCGUGUUUUACGCGGUGCGUAAAACAGGGGUAGACGAUUCUGGUCCGUCCUCUUCGAAUAUCAAACCCUAGUUGUCGCUCGUUAAAAACUAAAGAAGAAGAAGUGAUGGCUUUCUCAUCAGCAAAUGGUGGAGGAAAUCGGCCGGAAAAUAAUGUAAGUUGAUGGAGUUCGGUCCUCUUCUUCCCUUCUCCGGCGCCGUCUGAUCGGGUGUCCGUUUUUUCCGUCUCCGUAUCCAAGAGUAUGUCUACCACUGAGUCAUGGAGCUGGUCCCAGGCAUUUUUUAGUUAAAUCAAAGAUGUCAAAGAGAUUUGUAAGCGUGGAAAUGGUUUUCCAUUUCUAUACUUUUCCUCGAAAAAUGUGCAAAGGAUUCUAAAUGUAGAUUUCAAACGUAUAUAUCAAUAAGAUUAUUAUUGUAAAAAUGGUGAUUAUGGAUCCUCAAUGGUGCUCGCUAACUUGUAAUUGGAAUGUGCUAGAAUCCAGACUGUCCAUUUGGGAUAUUCUAUUUGGAAUGCAUUAGAAUUUUUUAGUAUA